rnacentral:rRNA from 1 species
GACGAACGCUGGCGGCGUGCUUAACACAUGCAAGUCGAACGGUAAGGCCCUUCGGGGUACACGAGUGGCGAACGGGUGAGUAACACGUGGGUGAUCUGCCCUGCACUUCGGGAUAAGCCUGGGAAACUGGGUCUAAUACCGGAUAGGACCACUGCCUGCAUGGGUGGUGGUGGAAAGCUUUUGCGGUGUGGGAUGGGCCCGCGGCCUAUCAGCUUGUUGGUGGGGUGAUGGCCUACCAAGGCGACGACGGGUAGCCGGCCUGAGAGGGUGACCGGCCACACUGGGACUGAGAUACGGCCCAGACUCCUGCGGGAGGCAGCAGUGGGGAAUAUUGCACAAUGGGCGCUAGCCUGAUGCAGCAACGCCGCGUGAGGGAUGACGGCCUUCGGGUUGUAAACCUCUUUUAGUAGGGAAGAAGCGAAAGUGACGGUGCCUGCAGAAAAAGCACCGGCUAACUACGUGCCAGCCGCCGCGGUAA